GCCAUAGCGGAGCCGGGCUGUCUCUCGGGUCUACCCAAAUGCGGAGCUCCCCUUGCUGGUGACAGCCGGGACCGGCUCCCGGCUCCGAGCGCUGCGCAGCGACACAAGCGCGUCCAGGUCAAGGUGGGAGCCCGAAAUCGAGGUCAGUGAAUCAUCCUCAGUCUCCCCAGAACCUGUGAGCAGGAGGCUGCCGGGCUCCGGUGCGGGUGCAAGUCACAGCGCCUCUUCUUUACAGGCACAUGGCCAGGCUAACUUGGAUAAAUCACACAUCAAUUUUGCCACUGACUCCAGCUGUGGAAGCCAUGGACUCUAGAAACACCAGAAACAAAGAUGUUCUUUGUACACAGCAUGAGGAAUGACCCACUUCUGGAUGAAGAGAGGAAAGCCUGUCUCAGCUUCCAUGCUGGAGCUACUCUACAGCAGGAACUCACAUCUCCAGGGUCAGGAGCUGCCUGUUAUGACACAACAGGCUCAUCCCAGCCUGCGGCAUCCUGCCAGUGCCCAGGGAAAGGUGGGAGAUGUGACAGCAACCAUCACAAUUCCCUAUAGGAACCACUUCCCCUGCUCCUAGAUGGACUUGCACCCGGACUGAAUUUAAAUGACAGGCUGUUGGUACUAUAUAAACCCUCUGAAAAACAACAAACUAGCACAUAAACUAUGAUUUUAACCCAGCAGAACCACACAAAAUCACCCACCAUUGACCAGAGCUGGAUUCUGUCCUGUCACCAUAACUUUAAUAAUACUCAGCUUGGAUGACAUCCCUAAACUACGAGCCAGCAUCAGCUCUCACUCUCCUGGGAGACAAAGCUGCACCCCCUUCUCCUCAGCGUCCUCCUGUGGGAGCAGGGGCGGUGUGCGCGACCCCUCGGGUUCCCCACCCAGAGCUGUU